rnacentral:rRNA from 1 species
AUACGGAGGGGACUAGCGUUGUUCGGAAUUACUGGGCGUAAAGCGUACGUAGGCGGAUCAGAAAGUACGGGGUGAAAUCCCAGGGCUCAACCCUGGAACUGCCUCAUAAACUCCUGGUCUUGAGUUCGAGAGAGGUGAGUGGAAUUCCGAGUGUAGAGGUGAAAUUCGUAGAUAUUCGGAGGAACACCAGUGGCGAAGGCGGCUCACUGGCUCGAUACUGACGCUGAGGUACGAAAGUGUGGGGAGCAAACAGGAUUAGAAACCCCAGUAGUCC